UCUUGGAGCUCUAGCUCACCUCUCUGGUGUUGUUCUUGUAUUCAUCUGAUUAAUCUAGUUCUUGCCAGUUCUUCUUGAACUUCUUGGUAGAUAUCAAGUCUAUAUUCUGUGUCCGUGACAAUACCUUAGUAAAUGAAUUACUAUUGAUAAGAUAAACUUUAGUGGUAGUUCUAGGUGAUCUAAUAUGCAAUCUAUAUAAGCCAUUGAUUGUGUCUAGUGGUCUAAUGGCC
rnacentral:lncRNA from 1 species